rnacentral:tRNA from 1 species
GGAGAGAUGGUCGAGAGGUCUAUGGCACUUGCUUGGAAAGCAAGAAAGGUGAAAGCCUUCGGAGGUUCAAAUCCUCUUCUCUCCGCCA